GCUCCCUUCGCUUAGUCGGUUAAAGCGAAGGUCUCAUAUCUUACGAAGAGCUGAGCCCCGAUUGGGGUGUAAUCCUUAGCCCUGAGUUCGAUUCUCAGAGGGAGCA